UAAAUAUUCAAUAUUUGAGAUUGCUAAUCGAUCACGCAUGCAAAAAGCGCUUGAAUCGCUAGAAAACGAAGAGGGGCGUUUUGCCCCGGUGGGGCGCAUUAUACCCUUUUACCCUAUAGGAGCCCGAAUGAGUGGCGGCGUCUAAUAUAUGCCGAUUUUAAGGCGGAGUUACUGAUGGAGAAAUUAAUGGUCAAUAAGUGCGUGAAUUUUAAUUGGCGUACGGGUAGCAGUUGGUUCGAACUUGCUUAUGAUCAGCGCGGGUGCUAAAAGAUGUUUUGUUUUAAUAAAGAGUUUCGUACCUUUUGCCAGAGGAAAUUGGAUUUCUAAUUUUGGAACAGACAACGGAAACGAGCAAUAGAGCAAUCAAUGGUAUUGCAGAUACAAAUUUGUAGGGUUACGAAGAAAUGUAACUCACUGUGUAGUAUAGUGAGGGUCAAAUGAUAAACGCUGACCAUCAAGUCAGAAAAUAAUCAUGCCAGCAACUGAAGGCAGUUCCAACAGCAGCGAUCGUCUCUUCUGCUUGGAACACAGAUAAACCACUAAGCUUUGAGUGCUUGAAUUUUGUUCUACAAGAAGAAUAAGUGUUGUUUUGAUAAAAAUUCUAAGAGUUCCGGAGAGGCAAAGGUUAUCAAUUCUUAUGGAAAUUUCACUUUCUCACACUGCUCCGAUCCGAAAGGGAUAUAAACAAAAAGAUAAGCCAAUAUAUGCAUUAACGAUUUGAAGCAUCAUUUGGUCUACAGGAGAUCCUUGUAAUGUAUUGUAGAUUUUAGCAAACACUGUUUUCGAUAGUUAGCUGUUUGUCAUCUAGGGAUUGCAUUUCAAACAAGAAACAACAGAGUAUCUUAAUGUAAGCACAAUCUCUCUUCCCUUGCCUACUGACAUCAACAGCCGAAGGCCAAAGUUGUCCCAACCCUUGUCUCUUCCUGGUAAUUAAAAAUAAAACAUCUACACCAGGCCCGCGUUCAUGGGCCACAUCCCACCCAUCUCGAUCCAAUUCAAAAGCCAUGCAAAUGAAUCAUCAUCACACUCUCAUGUGUUUGGUAGGUACAUCUACCCAUAUGACGCCAAAUCCAAAUUUAGUAGAACGGAAAAGUCGACACUAAACAACACUCGACGCGAUCCAAUCCACCAACCGGGCCGCCGGGAUGAAACUUGAGCCUUGUGUUGCAACCGGGUGCAAGUUCAUCUCAGCCGCGCGACACCCGGUGAUUUAUUCCACGACCCAAAGUUCAUGAACUUGACUGUGCCUUUCGACUCGAGUGGCAAACUCGGGGCCUGAACCUUUCAUUUAGUCUUUGAGGGGAUCCAGCACUACAGCGAUCGUCCCAGAUGGAUGAAAAUUAGUGAUGUAACGAAACUUGAUCGCAUUUCCGUGAAAUCUACGAAUUUGAUCGGAUUCAUUACCAUAAUUCAAACUAAUGGAAUAACACAUUCCAGCCAAUCGCCAAGUCGGCUCGAUGACUUGAAAGGUUCAAGAGAGCUAAUGAUACUUUUUCCGAGAAAUUGACCGUCAAUCUUGUGAUGAAGACCAGCCAACCUUUCCUCGAUAUAGUCGGAGCUGGUGGUGGCGCCUGGCGGCAGCCAGGAACCAUCACCAUCAGUCGAUCGAUCACACUCAACGAAAUGAUCGAGUGGUUGGUUACUGACUUUGCCCACCGAAAUCGAUCAACAAGUUUUGCCACGAUGAUGCUGGUGAUGAUGGUGAUCAUUAGACGGUGGUCCACGGCGACGCAGUAGUGGAUCGAAGUGAGAGUGUGCCGAAUUCAAGGCAACUGAUUCGAUUAAAAUCAGAUGAAUCAUGGGCAGAACAACUGGGGACGACGACGGGUGAAAAGGAAGCGGAGGUUAUGCUCGGCUCCGCGCACUGUGCCUAUGGCGUUUGGCUGCCAGUGGCCAACAUUGACCACGAUUGAUCGGGGCGGAAAACUGUGCACCGGAUCAACCAAAAAAACGAAGAUUUAAUGGGUAUUAAUAAUAGAGCGUAUAAUUGGCAUAAUUGAACCGCUCGAAAAGCUGACAAAUGGGCAAAUUGAACAGAAUAACCAAUUAAAGGGUCGUGAGUGAGCAAUUACCGCCUGGGUGGCAUUGAAAUAACGGUUCGAAUCGACAAUGUCAAUCGAAAUACCUGUGUUUGACAUUGAAACAUCAAACGAGAAGAACUGCAUCCACUAAAAUUUGUAUGAAGCUAAAGUCUAACAUACUGACCAUCAUUGCUAAACUCUUCAUUUUGGAGGGCGAGUGUCAAACUUUGGUGGCGACAACAAUAAACAGUCGGAGUCAAAUACGAGACACUGAAGACGAUGAGGUCAAAAUACGUAUCUGUCAUAGAAUGCAAACACAUACACUCCCGAUCAAAAGUUUGGGGUCACCCCUUCAAAAACAUGUCAUUUUUUAGGCCCAUAUCUCCGCCAAUUUGCUUCCAAUUUCAAACCCCUGCAUCUCAUUCAAAAAUAUUAAGUCAAAGAAACUUUGAACAUGAUCUGAUUGAAAACUUUUCGAAAAUGUUUGUUUCUAAGCUUAUGCUACAGUUGCCAAAUUUUCUGAAAAAUAAAUAUAAACUUACGGCUGUGUCGCUAGAAAUUGGGUCAACCAAACUUUAAGAUGAGAGCGUUUAUAUAUUUUUUUUUUAAUUUGGCAGCUUUGGGUUAAGUUUACAUACAAAAAAAUUUGUAAAAGUUUUACCCAAAUCAUGUUCAAAGUUACUUUGACUUAAUAUCUCCCGAAUGAGAUCUAGGGUUUUGAAAUCGGACGCAAAUUGGUGAAGAUAUGGCAUAUGACAUAUGGCCAUAACUUUUCAACGUGUAGCUCAAAUUGCAUGAUAUUUUGACUUAUCUGUACAUGCACACUUUGGUUCAGUAUUUUUAGCUCUAAAGCUUUAGGUAAAAAAGUGGUAGUUUCUUGUUUCGAAGAUAUCUCCGCCAACACCUAACCGAUUUUGAUGAAAUGUAUAUGGUAUUAGCUACACAUAAUUUACUACCCAAUAAAAAUCAGCUAUUUUUGUGCACGCAAUCAAAUGUGUGUGUAUCACUUCUAUUGAGUCGAAUCUUUAUGUACUCCUAAUUACUCGCACAUUUGGAAAUUGGGAAAAUGUUUUGAAAGCAAUUUCUAAUGUUUAGGAACCAAAAACUAAGAUAACUGCAUACAAAACUAUAUUAAGGAUAAAAAAAAAUUAAAAACCUAACACUUGAAAUUUGUCAAAAUAAUGGUUUGCUAAUGAAGCCUUAAGGACAGACUUGUUCAAAUCCCAAAAUGGCCGCCACAAAGGCCGACUUUGGCACCUACUCACGAUUUUGAAAGCACAAAUCUCUUCGUAAAUAAAACCAGCGCACCUGAUUUUAAGCUUAUUACAAGUGAGCAAGAACAGAAUAAUAAAAUGUACUGUUGUUUGAAGCUUGCUGAAGUUCUAAUGCACUCUUGAAACGGGAUUUCAGGACGUUUGUCCUUAAACCUACCUUUAUAUAAGGCACAAAUACUAAGUACUUCGAAAAAAAAAAGCAAAACCUUUAGAAAUAACUCAAGUUCUGCUGAAACUUCUAAGUUUCUGCCAAAAAUACAGUUUUGUUGUUUGGGUACCAAUGCGCAUCUCACCAGAUUUGUUCAGAAUACUUUGGCGAAAAACGCAAAAUUGAUUUGAUGCACCUCUAAAUUUCAAUGGAUUUGGCUGAAAUUUUGACCAGUUACUUCUUUUAGGAUGGCAAUCAAAAUAUGGAAGUGGACUUGAGAAUCAGAGAACAUUUUUGAAAAGGUGGACAGGCCUAUUGUACAAUCACUAUUAUCAGUGGUGUCAUCGAGGUUUCGCCAAGUUACUCACUAAGUAACCAGCUCUUGGGAUCCACAGAUUUUUUCAAGAUUUCUCUCAGAAUUCUUGGAAGAAACCUUCUGAGAAAUUUUCAAGAAAUUCUGCCAGGCAUGCCUUCUGAGAUUUAUUUCGGAAGUCCCUCAAGAAUUCGUCCAGGAAUGCCUUUAGAAAAUUCAUAGUUUUCUUAAGAAUUUUCUCCAAAGAAUUUUCUCCAAAGUUUCUUUCAGGAUUUCUCUUAGAGGACCCUAUAAAAAAUUCUCCCAGUAAUUUCAUAGAAAAACUUCCAUGGGUUUCCUUAAAAAAGACUUUAUAUAUUUUUCCAGACAUCGUAAAUUCUUUCAUGGACAUCCACGAACUCCUUCAGAAAUGCUUUCAGAAAUUCCUACAGAAAAUCAAAAGUUCAAAAUUCUUCCAGACUUUCCUCAAAUGAUUUCUUUAGAAAACCUUCCGCAGAUUGCUUCAGAGAUUCUUCCAUAGCUUACUUAAGAUUUUUUUUACAAAAUUUCCUGGAGAUCCCUUCAGAAACUUUUCAUGAGAUUUCGUCAUAAAUUUGACCAAGGAUUUCUUUAAGUAAUCUUCUAUGAAUUUCUCUCAAAUGUGCUUCAUGAAUUUCCAUCAGAAAUUACUCCAGGGAGUCUGUUUUUAAAUCUAGGGUAUUGGUUCCCUUAUUAAGCAUGUGGCUCCCAUUUUCAUCCCACGAAAAACAAGGGAUUGAAGCGUUGUUUGUUUUGUUUCUUAUUUUUGUAUUUUUUGUUAGAAGUGAGCACGCAUGAAAACAAAAAGAACGGAAUCAAUCGGUGCCGUAAUCGCUUGUUUUCGAAUAGGAUGAAUAUGGAAGCGUGAGAUUACCGAUGGCACACAUACCCUAUCAAGCAAACUCUGUCAUUUUCUCCAAAAAUUCUUAAAGGUAAGAACCCGUUGAAGACAUCUGUUCAGGAUUUCUUCUGGAUAUCCCCCUUAGAGCCUUUCAAGAAAUUUCUAUAAAAAUAUAGGUGGAUUUUAUUGGAUUCCUUCAGAAACUUUGACAAAGAACUUACUUUUCAGUUAUUCUUCUAAAAGGAGGAAUUCGUCUAAAAUAGCCUUCGAAAAUCUUUUCGGGGAUAUUUUUAAAUUUUUUUCUCAUGUCCUCCAGUGUUUUCUUUAGAAAAUCUUCCUACUUUAAGGAAUUUAUUCAGGAACAUUUUCUAGAUUUUUUACAGGAAUUAUUUGAGAUAUAUCUCAAGAGUCAAGACAUUUUCCUUGGGAUCUUUACAGAAGCUUAUCUAUCCGUUUUCUCAUGUAUUUUUACGGAAAUUUCUUCAGAAAUACGUCCACGGGUUGCUCCUGGAACACGUCCUGCAAGAUUUUUAUUAAAGGAUUUCUCCAGGAUUUCUUUUAAGUCUCAGUUCGCGUUUCUACGAAUUCCACUAAAAGAUUUCCUGAGGAGGUUCUUCCUGUUUCGCCAGAAAUUCCUCUUUAGAUUCUUUCAGAAAUUUCCUUGGGGUUUCUUCAGAUAUUCCUCUAGAGAUUCAAUCAAAAAUUCUUAAUGAGAUUUCUAAAGGAAUUAUACUGGAGUUUUUUUUUUCUUCAGGUGCUCUUUUAGAAAUUUUCGUUCAAAUUUCCGUUCAAGGAUUCCUUCAAAAAUAUCUCCGGAGACUUUUUCAGAACUUCAGAAAUUUCUUUAGAAAUUUUAGUUAAAGGCAGAGGGAAACAGACGCAACACUUAGAGCAAAUUU